rnacentral:lncRNA from 1 species
UGGUGUCAUAGAACUUGAGAUAGAAAUGUUACUUAGGGAUGGACAAUUUGAUCUCAAGAAUUUCUGCAACUGCAGCACUCAACUUUUUGUUUACAUCAUGAAAUUAUAGCCUCCAUUUGCUACAUCAGAAUACAGAUAAGGUCGUCAUAACCCUAAACAUCGUUGCUAAUGAGGAUGCGUCUUUGAACCCUAACCGUCGUUGUUACCAAGCAACGGAGGACGGCGGACGGGGAUUUGACGGCAUAUGCGGCGGAGGACGGUGGUGGUCAUGUUGACGGUGACACAAAUAUAUCGACUGUAAUUUCCUCAAAUUGAUAAUAUGUAUUCCUUCAAUCAUUCUCAGUUUAUUA